AUGCUCCACCAACUGAGCCAGCCAGGUGCCCCUAAAGUUAUUUUUAAAAUUCAAUAAUUUAUUUUUUAAAUACUGUCAUGGCUUGGCUUAUGCCCAACUAGGAUGCCUCAAAACUUGGAUCAUUAUUUAAAUGGACAAUCCUUUGCAAAAUAUAACAGUUCUUGUUUUUCCCUUCUUACUUUGUACUGCCCAGUAUCCUGGCUACUCUGGGUCCGUAGAUAUGAGAAGGACAUGUGGACUAAUGGGUUCUGCUUUAAUGAUACACAUAUUUCUCAUUGCCUAAACAGUGCCUUUGCCAGGGGAGUUCCUUAAUAAAAUGCUUGCUGACCUUAAGUUACACUCUAAAUAGCAUUUUUAUUUCUAAUUUUUUCUUUCAGUGCCUUUACUUGCUGAGCUAGAGUUUGAUCAAGAAAUCAUAAAUCACUACCAACUGGCAUUUCUAGUAAGAAAGGAUUUAACAUGGGGGAACUGGGCUUACACAGCCAUUAGAAGGCCUGGGGACAGCCAGGGAGGGAGGGCCAUCUGCCAGAGCAGGAAUUGCAAGGAGCCACUACUGUCGGGGGUCUGGGUUGCUGUAGCACCGGGUGGGCUACUGCCAGAAGAUGUGUGGAAGCUGCUGGCAAAUCCCACAUUAGCUGCCUGAGGCCCAUUAACCUGUUUGCAGUUUACCACUGGUGAAUACUUAUUUCUAACUUCUCUUCUCCAAAUUCUGUACAAGUGCCUCUCACUGGUGAAAUCUAAUUGGAUCUCUGUGGCUAAGUAUCCAGCGGAAGGGAGAUAUUGUACAGUGCAGCUCACCCUUUGGAUUACCCAGCAUCUCUACUCACCCUUGUCAUCCGUAUUUAAAUUUCCAAAGAAGAGCAAGAAGAAUACCAUGGUUCUCUUUGGCAUGCUGCAACUAUCCCUCUUGGAAUAAAGAAACACUCUCUUCCCAAGAAAAGAUACAUUUCACAAGUUUCCCCCCCAAAAAUGGGAGAGAGAUUUGAGGCAGAAGAAGCCAUUCGGCAUUUUGACCACAGAGGCAGAUGUGGGAAUGGUACAGCCACCAGAAGCUGAAGAGAUAAGAAAUGUAUUUUUCCCUUAAGUCUCCAAGGGGAGUGUGUUCCUAACAACACCUUGAUUUCAACUCUGUGAUACCAAUUUUGGUCAUCUGGCCUCCAGAACUGAGAGAUAAUAAAUCUCUGCUGUUUUAAAUCACCAUAUUCUUGGUAAAUGAUUACAGCAGCUACAAGGAAAUGGAUUCAGAGAACUUGCACAUCUUUUGUUGUAUUUAUCCUUAGGUACUUGAUAACUUUUGUUCUUACUAUUUUUUUUUUAAUUACAAAAUUUUUUUUAAAUAAAAUUACAUUUUCUAGCCUUUUUUUUUGAUGGUAUAGAAAAUACCAAAUUCUGUAUGUAGAAUUUGGUUUGCUGUAACUUUGCUAAAUUCACUUAUUUCUAGUGGAUAUUUUCUAUAUGCAAUAUUAUGUUACCUGUGAAUAACUGGGUUUGUUUCUUCCCUACUGAUCCUUACACAUUAAAAAAAUUUUUUACCUUUCUCUGCUGCCCAGGACAUCCAGUAUAAUUUGAAUAGAAAUGGUAAUGGGAACUUCCUUGUUUGUCCUUCUAAUGCCAAAGGAAAAAUUUCAACAUUUUACCAUCAGGUAUUAUAUUUGCUGUAGAUUUUUGUAGACACCCUUUAUCAGGUUAAGGAAGUUUUUUUUUUUUGUUGUUUGUUUUGUUUUGUUUUUCCUAUUCUUAGUUUACUAAGAGUUUGUUUGUCUUUAGUUGCUAUAUGGCUGCUUAGGUUUUAUCAAAAGCUUCUACUGACAUCACAUUAUUUUCCUCCUUUAAUCUGUUAAUGAAAAGGGUUAUGUUGCCUUCCUAGAAGAAAUUCAGUCUAGCAUUUUUAGGCUUUAAAUUGCUCCCCAAAUUGCUUUAUGUUGUGAUGUGUCAUAUUUGGGUUACUCAAGUGCAAGAUACAUUCUAAUUUCCAUUAUGAGUUCUUUGACUCAGAGGUUACUUAGAUGUGUUUUCUUAAUUUUCAAACAUACCAUUCUAGUUACCAUUUUGUUACUGGUAUCUAAUGUGGUCAGAGAACAUGCUCUGAAUUACUUUAAUCUCUUGAGUACUUGCUUUUAGUCUGGUAUAUGGUCAGUUUUUUCCAGGUGUUCUGUGUGUGCUUGAAUUUAGCGUAUGUCCUAUGCUAUGGCUGGAAUGGUCUUUGAAUAGGCCCAUUAGGGUCGUUUGUCGGUUGUGUUGGUCAGAUCUUCUCUACCCUGGUUGAUGGUUUGGUUUUGGUGGUGUACUCAGUUCCUGAGACAGGCGUGUUAACAUCUACGUUGGUGGAAGUCUCUCACCUCUUCUCAUGCAGCCGCUUUAUAGACUUCUUCUCGCAUACUUGCUUUACGUAUUCCGAUGUUAUAAUGAGAUGAAUACACAUUGAAAGCUGUUGUUGAUGAAUUGAAAAUGUUUCUUAUGAAAGAACCCUCUUUAUUCUCUAGUUAUAAACUUUUGCUUUAAAAUUCAGCUUGUUGGGUCGCCCGGGUGGCUCCGUUGGUUGAGUGACC